rnacentral:rRNA from 1 species
CCUACGGGAGGCAGCAGUGAGGAAUAUUGGUCAAUGGGCGUAAGCCUGAACCAGCCAAGUCGCGUGAGGGAUGAAGGUUCUAUGGAUCGUAAACCUCUUUUAUAAGGGAAUAAAGUGUGGGACGUGUCCUGUUUUGUAUGUACCUUAUGAAUAAGGAUCGGCUAACUCCGUGCCAGCAGCCGCGGUAAUACGGAGGAUCCGAGCGUUAUCCGGAUUUAUUGGGUUUAAAGGGUGCGUAGGCGGCCUUUUAAGUCAGCGGUGAAAGUCUGUGGCUCAACCAUAGAAUUGCCGUUGAAACUGGGAGGCUUGAGUAUGGUUGAGGCAGGCGGAAUGCGUGGUGUAGCGGUGAAAUGCUUAGAUAUCACGCAGAACCCCGAUGGCGAAGGCAGCCUGCCAAGCCAUGACUGACGCUGAUGCACGAAAGCGUGGGGAUCAAACAGGAUUAGAUACCCGGGUAGUC